GAUGAACGCUGGCGGCGUGCCUAAUACAUGCAAGUCGAGCGAACAGGUAAUGAUCUUGUUCCGUUGACGUGAGCGGCGGGCGGGUGAGUAACACGUGUGUAACCUACCUAUAAGACUGGAAUAAUCCCGGGAAACCGGGGCAAAUGCCGGAUAACAUUUAGAACCGCAGGGUGCUAAAGAGAAAUAUGGUGUUGGUGUCACGAAUAGCUGGACCCGCGCCGUAUUAGCUGGUUGUUAAGGUAAAGGCUUUCCAAGGGAAGGAGGCGUAGCCGAGCUGAGAGGGGGAUCGCCCACAUGAGAACUUGACCACGGUCCAUACUCCUACGAGAGGCAGCAGUAGGGAAUGGUAGGCAGCGGGCGAAAGCAUGACGCAGCAACCCCGCGUGAGUGAUGACGGCCUUCGGAUCGUAAAACUCUGUUAUUAGGUAAGAACCACUGUGUAAGUAGACGAGGCCGUAUUGACGGUAACGAAUCAAAAAGCACCGGCUAACUACGUG
rnacentral:rRNA from 1 species